CUGACACCUGCACCUCCUCCUCUUUUUCCUGAGUAUUUCCACCCAUUAAAUGAAGGAGAUGGGGAUGCUGUGCAGCCCAAUAUUCAUAUUAGUCAUGAAGAAAGUGGGAGUAUGAGAAGGAUUCCAGGCACUGUGACUGCAACAUCUGAGCUGGACCAAUGAAGAUUAGACAUGGCCUGGACAUAAGAAUUCUUCUGAGAAUUCUCUCAGCACCAUUUUUCAUGGGCAGAACCCUAAGCCACUACAUAUAAAACGUGUUUUAGUACUCUAUAUUUUGAAGUAUCUUGUCUCAGUAGAGACAAGUCUAAAGUGGCAUGAAAAUAGGAUUGUCAUUCAAUGACCUCUGGAACGUGUCUGCUUCUCUUCCUCAGGUCUGUGAGCACAGGACACAAAAUUUACAGGUGCUCACCCUGAACUAAU